rnacentral:rRNA from 1 species
CACAAAAUGACUUUUGGCAAUGGAUAUCUCGGCUCUUGCAUCGAUGAAGAACAAAUGCGAUACUUGGUGUGAAUUGAACGCAAGUUGCGCCCGAAGCAUUAGGCGAGGGCACGCCUGCCUGGGUGUCACA